GAUGAACGCUGGCGGCGUGCCUAAUACAUGCAAGUCGAGCGAACAGGCGAGGAGCUUGCUCCUCUGACGUUAGCGGCGGACGGGUGAGUAACACGUGGAUAACCUACCUAUAAGACUGGGAUAACUUCGGGAAACCGGAGCUAAUACCGGAUAAUAUAUUGAACCGCAUGGUUCAAUAGUGAAAGACGGUUUUGCUGUCACUUAUAGAUGGAUCCGCGCCGCAUUAGCUAGUUGGUAAGGUAACGGCUUACCAAGGCAACGAUGCGUAGCCGACCUGAGAGGGUGAUCGGCCACACUGGAACUGAGACACGGUCCAGACUCCUACGGGAGGCAGCAGUAGGGAAUCUUCCGCAAUGGGCGAAAGCUUGACGGAGCAACGCCGCGUGAGGGAUGAAGGUCCGGAUCGUAAAACUCUGUUAUUAGGGAAGAACAAAUGUGUAAGUAACUAUGCACGUCUUGACGGUACCUAAUCAGAAAGCCACGGCUAACUACGUG
rnacentral:rRNA from 1 species